GACGAACCGUGCAAACGUUGUUCGGAAUCACUGGGCUUAAAGGGCGCGUAGGCGGGCAAGCAAGUCCGGGGUGAAAUCUUUCGGCCCAACCGGAAAAGGGCCUUGGAUACUGCUUGUCUGGAGGGAGGUAGGGGCAGACGGAACUUCCGGUGGAGCGGUGGAAUGCGUAGAGAUCCGGAAGAACACCGGUGGCGAAGGCGGUCUGCUGGGGUAAUGCUGACACUGAUGCGCGACAGCGUGGGGAGCAAACAGG
rnacentral:rRNA from 1 species